AACUGGGUGACUAGAGUGUGUCAGAGGGAGGUAGAAUUCCACGUGUAGCAGUGAAAUGCGUAGAGAUGUGGAGGAAUACCGAUGGCGAAGGCAGCCUCCUGGGAUAACACUGACGUUCAUGCCCGAAAGCGUGGGUAGCAAACAGGAUUAGAUACCCUGGUAGUCCACGCCCUAAACGAUGUCGAUUAGCUGUUGGGCAGCAUGACUGCUUAGUAGCGAAGCUAACGCGUGAAAUCGACCGCCUGGGGAGUACGGUCGCAAGAUUAAAACUCAAAGGAAUUGACGGGGACCCGCACAAGCGGUGGAUGAUGUGGAUUAAUUCGAUGCAACGCGAAGAACCUUACCUGGUCUUGACAUGUACGGAACCCUCCAGAGACGGAGGGGUGCCUUCGGGAGCCGUAACACAGGUGCUGCAUGGCUGUCGUCAGCUCGUGUCGUGAGAUGUUGGGUUAAGUCCCGCAACGAGCGCAACCCUUGUCAUUAGUUGCCAUCAUUAAGUUGGGCACUCUAAUGAGACUGCCGGUGACAAGCCGGAGGAAGGUGGGGAUGACGUCAAGUCCUCAUGGCCCUUAUGACCAGGGCUUCACACGUCAUACAAUGGUCGGUACAGAGGGUAGCCAAGCCGCGAGGUGGAGCCAAUCUCACAAAACCGAUCGUAGUCCGGAUUGCACUCUGCAACUCGAGUGCAUGAAGUCGGAAUCGCUAGUAAUCGCAGGUCAGCAUACUGCGGUGAAUACGUUCCCGGGUCUUGUACACACCGCCCGUCACACCAAGGGAGUGGGGGAUACCAGAAGUAGGUAGGGUA
rnacentral:rRNA from 1 species